UUCGGGCGCCGGCGAGUGGCGAACGGGUGAGUAACACGUGGAGACCUAUCCAUUGGUGGGGGACAACAGCUGGAAACGGCUGCUAAUACCGCAUAAUCCCUACGGGGGAAAGAUUUAUCGCCAUAGGAGGGUUCCGCGUCGGAUUAGCUAGUUGGUGGGGUAACGGCCUACCAAGGCAACGAUCCGUAGCUGGUCUUAGAGGAUGAUCAGCCACACUGGGACUGAGACACGGCCCAGACUCCUACGGGAGGCAGCAGUGGGGAAUAUUGCGCAAUGGAGGAAACUCUGACGCAGCGAUGCCGCGUGGGUGAAGAAGGCCUUAGGGUUGUAAAGCCCUUUCAGUGGGAACGAUGGUGACGGUAUCCACAGAAGAAGCCCCGGCUAACUCCGUGCCAGCAGCCGCGGUAAUACGGAGGGGGCGAGCGUUGUUCGGAAUUAUUGGGCGUAAAGCGCGCGUAGGCGGUUUAUUAAG
rnacentral:rRNA from 1 species